ACUAACAGGAUUCCCCUAGUAACUGCGAGUGAAGCGGGAAAAGCUCAAAUUUAAAAUCUGGUGGUCUCUAACCAUCCGAAUUGUAAUCUAGAGAAGUGUUACCCGUGCUGGACCGUGUACAAGUCUCCUGGGAUGGAGCGUCAUAGAGGGUGAGAAUCCCGUCUCUGACACGGACUACCAGUGCUUUGUGGUAUACUCUCAAAGAGUCGAGUUGUUUGGGAAUGCAGCUCAAAAUGGGUGGUAAAUUCCAUCUAAAGCUAAAUAUUGGCGAGAGACCGAUAGCGAACAAGUACCGUGAGGGAAAGAUGAAAAGAACUUUGGAAAGAGAGUUAAACAGUACGUGAAAUUGCUGAAAGGGAAACGCUUGAAGUCAGUCAUGUUGGCUGGGGAUCAGCCUCACUCUUCUGUGUGGUGUACUUCCCAGUUGAUGGGUCAGCAUCAAUUUUGAUCACUGGAAAAAGGCUUGAGGAAUGUGGCAGCUCCGGCUGUGUUAUAGCUUCUUGUCAUAUACAGUGAUUGGGAUUGAGGAACUCAGCACGCCGCAAGGCCGGGUUUCGACCACGUUCGUGCUUAGGAUGCUGGCAUAAUGGCUUUAAGCGACCCGUCUUGAAACACGGACCAAGGAGUCUAACAUGCCUGCGAGUGUUUGGGUGGAAAACCCAAAYGCGUAAUGAAAGUGAAAGUUGAGAUCCCUGUCAUGGGGAGCAUCGAUGCCCGGACCAGAACUUUUGGGACGGAUCCGCGGUAGAGCAUGUAUGUUGGGACCCGAAAGAUGGUGAACUAUGCCUGAAUAGGGUGAAGCCAGAGGAAACUCUGGUGGAGGCUCGUAGCGAUUCUGACGUGCAAAUCGAUCGUCAAAUUUGGGUAUAGGGGCGAAAGACUAAUCGAAC
rnacentral:rRNA from 2 species